UACGAAGGGGGCUAGCGUUGUUCGGAAUCACUGGGCGUAAAGCGCACGUAGGCGGAUUGUUAAGUCGUGGGUGAAAUCCUGGAGCUCAACUCCAGAACUGCCUUCGAUACUGGAGAGCUCGAGUCCGGGAGAGGUGAGUGGAACUGCGAGUGUAGAGGUGAAAUUCGUAGAUAUUCGCAAGAACACCAGUGGCGAAGGCGGCUCACUGGCCCGGUACUGACGCUGAGGUGCGAAAGCGUGGGGAGCAAACAGG
rnacentral:rRNA from 1 species